AGUGAACGCUGGCGGUAGGCCUAACGCAUGCAAGUCGAACGGCAGCACAGUAAGAGCUUGCUCUUACGGGUGGCGAGUGGCGGACGGGUGAGGAAUACAUCGGAAUCUACUUUUUCGUGGGGGAUAACGUAGGGAAACUUACGCUAAUACCGCAUACGACCUACGGGUGAAAGCAGGGGAUCUUCGGACCUUGCGCGAUUGAAUGAGCCGAUGUCGGAUUAGCUAGUUGGCGGGGUAAAGGCCCACCAAGGCGACGAUCCGUAGCUGGUCUGAGAGGAUGAUCAGCCACACUGGAACUGAGACACGGUCCAGACUCCCACGGGAGGCAGCAGUGGGGAAUAUUGGACAAUGGGCGCAAGCCUGAUCCAGCCAUACCGCGUGGGUGAAGAAGGCCUUCGGGUUGUAAAGCCCUUUUGUUGGGAAAGAAAAGCAGCAGGUUAAUACCCCGCUGUUCUGACGGUACCCAAAGAAUAAGCACCGGCUAACUUCGUG
rnacentral:rRNA from 1 species